rnacentral:rRNA from 1 species
AGAGUUUGAUCAUGGCUCAGAUUGAACGCUGGCGGCAUGCCUUACACAUGCAAGUCGAACGGCAGCACGGGGGCAACCCUGGUGGCGAGUGGCGAACAGGUGAGUAACGCAUCGGAAUGUACCCAGUAGUGGGGGAUAACUAGUCGAAAGAUUAGCUAAUACCGCAUACGCACUGAGGUGGAAAGCGGGGGAUCGCAAGACCUCGCGCUAUUGGAGCAGCCGAUGUCCGAUUAGGUAGUUGGUGGGGUAAAGGCCUACCAAGCCUGCGAUCGGUAACUGGUCUGAGAGGACGACCAGUCACACUGGGACUGAGACACGGCCCAGACUCCUACGGGAGGCAGCAGUGGGGAAUUUUGGACAAUGGGCGCAAGCCUGAUCCAGCAAUGCCGCGUGUGUGAAGAAGGCCUUCGGGUUGUAAAGCACUUUUGGCGGGAGCGAAACGGCGUUUACUAAUACCAGACGCUAAUGACGGUACCCGCAGAAUAAGCACCGGCUAACUACGUG